GUGCUCACUUUAACAGCAUCUGUACUAAAAUUGGAAUGAUACAGAGAAGAUUAGUGUGGUCCCUACACAAGGAUGAUAUGCAAAUGUGUGGAGUGUUCCAUAUUUUU
ensembl:snRNA U6 U6 spliceosomal RNA